GACGAACGCUGGCGGCGUGCUUAACACAUGCAAGUCGAACGGAAAGGCACUGCUUUUGUGGGGUGCUCGAGUGGCGAACGGGUGAGUAACACGUGAGUAACCUGCCCUUGACUUUGGGAUAACUUCAGGAAACUGGGGCUAAUACCGGAUAGGAGCUCCUGCUACAUGGUGGGGGUUGGAAAGUUUCGGCGGGUGGGGAUGGACUCGCGGCUGAUCAGCUUGUUGGUGGGGUAGUGGCUUACCAAGGCUUUGACGGGUAGCCGGCCUGAGAGGGUGACCGGCCACAUUGGGACUGAGAUACGGCCCAGACUCCUACGGGAGGCAGCAGUGGGGAAUAUUGCACAAUGGGAGGAAGCCUGAUGCAGCAACGCCGCGUGCGGGAUGACGGCCUUCGGGUUGUAAACCGCUUUCGCCUGUGACGAAGCGUGAGUGACGGUAAUGGGUAAAGAAGCACCGGCUAACUACGUG
rnacentral:rRNA from 1 species